CGGUCGAGUGAGUUUGAUCCUGGCUACAGGACGACGCUGGCGGCGUGCCUAAUACAUGCAAGUCGAGCGAAUCCUUGGGAGGCUUCGACUCCCGAAGGUUAGCGGCGGACGGGUGAGUAACACGUGGGCAACCUGCCUAUAAGACUGGGAUAACUUCGGGAAACCGGAGCUAAUACCGGAUAAUUCUUUUCUACACAUGUAGAAAAGCUAAAAGACGGUUUACGCUGUCACUUAUAGAUGGGCCCGCGGCGCAUUAGCUAGUUGGUGAGGUAACGGCUCACCAAGGGCCACGAUGCGUAGCCGACCUGAGAGGGUGAUCGGCCACACUGGGACUGAGACACGGCCCAGACUCCUACGGGAGGCAGCAGUAGGGAAUCUUCCGCAAUGGACGAAAGUCUGACGGAGCAACGCCGCGUGAGUGAUGAAGGUUUUCGGAUCGUAAAACUCUGUUGUUAGGGAAGAACAAGUACGAGAGUAACUGCUCGUACCUUGACGGUACCUAACCAGAAGGCCACGGCUAACUACGUG
rnacentral:rRNA from 1 species